rnacentral:rRNA from 1 species
GUAGGUGGCAAGCGUUGUCCGGAAUUAUUGGGGCGUAAAGCGCGCGCAGGCGGUUCGUUUAAGUCUGAUGUGAAAGCCCACGGGCUCAACCGUGGAGGGUCAUUGGAGACUGGAGAACUUGAGUACAGAAGAGGAAAGCGGAAUUCCACGUGUAGCGGUGAAAUGCGUAGAGAUGUGGAGGAACACCAGUGGCGAAGGCGGCUUUCUGGUCUGUAACUGACGCUGAGGCGCGAAAGCGUGGGGAGCAAACAGGAUUAGAUACCCUGGUAGUCCACGCCGUAAACGAUGAGUGCCAAGUGUUAGGGGGUUUCCGCCCCUUAGUGCUGCAGCUAACGCAUUAAGCACUCCGCCUGGGGAGUACGGCCGCAAGGCUG